rnacentral:rRNA from 1 species
UACGUAGGGUGCAAGCGUUAAUCGGAAUUACUGGGCGUAAAGCGUGCGCAGGCGGUUUGGUAAGACAGAUGUGAAAUCCCCGGGCUUAACCUGGGAAUUGCAUUUGUGACUGCCCGGCUAGAGUGUGUCAGAGGGGGGUAGAAUUCCACGUGUAGCAGUGAAAUGCGUAGAGAUGUGGAGGAAUACCGAUGGCGAAGGCAGCCUCCUGGGCCAACACUGACGCUCAUGCACGAAAGCGUGGGGAGCAAACAGG